rnacentral:rRNA from 1 species
GACGAACGCUGGCGGCGUGCUUAACACAUGCAAGUCGAACGGAAAGGCCCUGCUUUUGUGGGGUGCUCGAGUGGCGAACGGGUGAGUAACACGUGAGUAACCUGCCCUUGACUUUGGGAUAACUUCAGGAAACUGGGGCUAAUACCGGAUAGGAGCUCCUGCUGCAUGGUGGGGGUUGGAAAGUUUCGGCGGUUGGGGAUGGACUCGCGGCUUAUCAGCUUGUUGGUGGGGUAGUGGCUUACCAAGGCUUUGACGGGUAGCCGGCCUGAGAGGGUGACCGGCCACAUUGGGACUGAGAUACGGCCCAGACUCCUACGGGAGGCAGCAGUGGGGAAUAUUGCACAAUGGGCGGAAGCCUGAGGCAGCAACGCCGCGUGCGGGAUGACGGCCUUCGGGUUGUAAACCGAUUUCGCCUGUGACGAAGCGUGAGUGACAGUAAUGGGUAAAGAAGCACCGGCUAACUACGUG